rnacentral:RNase_P_RNA from 1 species
GGAGUGGGCCAGACGGCCGCGCAUGCUGCCGCAAGCCGGUCGGCAUGUGAGGAAAGUCCGGACUCCACAGGGCAGGAUGCCAGCUAACGGCUGGGCGGGGUGACCCGACGGAAAGUGCCACAGAAAAGAAAACUCUCCCUGCUUGUCAGUGCCUAGGCAUAGCCAGUGUCACUUGUGAUCAUAGUAGCCAGAGGCGACAUGGCUCAUUGUUAUCAGGGAGAAAAGCUGAAACGGUGCGGUAAGAGCGCACCAGCGUCGCGGCGACGCGGCGGCUUGGCAAACCCCAUCUGGAGCAAGGGCGAAUAGGAGCGCUAUAGGUCGGCCCGGCCUGCGCUCGGGUAUGCCCGCGAGAGGGCGCCGGUGACGGCGCUCCCAGAUAAAUGGCCGUUCUCGACAGAAUCCGGCUUAUCGGCCCACUCCGCCU